rnacentral:rRNA from 1 species
AUGCAUGAGCUCUACAGGAGCAAUUUCGCCUCUUUUGGUCCGCUCAAUUCCUCCAUCAUCACUUUGCUGCCCAAGAAAGAGUGCUCCUUACAAGUGGCUGAUUUCAAGCAUAUUAACUUGAUCCAUGGGGCUGCUAAUUUUUUUGCUAAAGUAUUGGUCGUGCGUCUUGGAGUUCUGCUGCCAACUCUUAUCUCACAAGUUCAGAGUGUGUUCACCAGUCAGAGGAGCAUCCGUGAUAACUUUAAAUUUGUCCGCAAUGCUGCCAGGUUACUCCAUCGCAAGAAAUCCCCGGUUGUGCUUAUGAAGCUUGAUAUUUCCAAAGCCUUUGAUACUUUGCCAUGGGAGUUCAUCAUCUAG